rnacentral:rRNA from 1 species
UAAAGCGCGCGUAGGUGGUUUGUUAAGUUGAAUGUGAAAUCCCCGGGCUCAACCUGGGAACUGCAUCCAAAACUGGCAAGCUAGAGUAGGGCAGAGGGUGGUGGAAUUUCCUGUGUAGCGGUGAAAUGCGUAGAUAUAGGAAGGAACACCAGUGGCGAAGGCGACCACCUGGGCUCAUACUGACACUGAGGUGCGAAAGCGUGGGGAGCAAACAGGAUUAGAUACCCAGU